ensembl:ncRNA B0198.8 ncRNA
AGCACGAUCAGAUUACCGGAAGCGCCAACACAACUUCUCCCCUUCAGCCGCUCAUCAGAAUCAUGAAUAUUUGACAA